CAAGCCCCGGCAACAGUCCGGGGCAUUGGUUUAUAAUGCAGCCGUAGGCGGUCACAAGCCCGUAUAAAUGCAGAGUGUAAA
rnacentral:ribozyme from 1 species